UCCAUAGAUUACUGCUCUUCUACUGCAAAAGAGACUUAUCUUAGAGAGGAUGUUUUGGAUGACAUGGUCAGUAAGCGGUGGUUUGGUGAAGAUAAGAAAAAGGAAUGUCUGAGGCAUCUAGCUGAAGCCCAGGAGAACAACAUCCCCUUUACUGUCUCCACCUCUCUGACGUUGCUUAGUCUUUGUGUAUCUGUUUAUGAACUAUCUGUGGCUUAUUACAGCCGACUCCAGUGUGUGAUAGUUGUGUACAACAGACGAACGAGUACCCUCAAUUCUUUAUACCAGAUGAGACUUUCUGCACUGUCUGCCCUGGGACUGUUCCUUUAAGUGCUCCGAUUCUGAUAACUGCAAAGGCCAAAAUUCUGACCAUUGAUGGGACUAUAAAUGAUGUCUCUACAUUUAUCAGGAAAUGGGAGGACUGCGGCAUGACUUAUCGCUAUCAGGAGUUCAAGGAUGGAGUUCACAAUUUUAAUGAUCACCUCCUCCUUGGACUACACUUAUGUUUGUUUUUGAGGUCCCAGCUCCAGGUUAGUAUCUUCUUCAACAGUCACUUCAAAUUCUCUCUGAUUGGUUCCCCCCAGCUGAUAGCGUGAUGCACGGGUAUCUUCAUUUUGAAGCCAUGUCCAGCCAUACCUACGAUUUCAGCUGUGUAUGUUGCGGUGACCAUCCACCACCCAUUGUGGUAAUGGACCUUCAUAAAAAAGGUGUCUUCCAUCUGACAAUGAGUGACUUGAAAAGUCCACCUGAUGACUAGAAAGGGGAAGUGAAUAUGGAGAACUUCUGGGAUUCUGUUUCCAAGGAGCUUAUUGCCCGUGGUUUCUUGACAAGCAACAGAAACAAUCCAUACAGUGUUCCACCCUCCUUUGAGUAUUGAGCACCAUGGAUCGGUGGUAAAACACAGAGGUCAGCGGUGGUGCUCAACACUGAGUAUAAGAAAAUCCAGACGUCCAAGGCUCCAGCAGAAAAUUCUGAACUAACAGUCACCAAGGACCAUCUCCUAAACGAGCUCCUUAAUCAGAAGGCCCUGAAGAAGAAAUGCAGUUAAAGCCAAAUAAGGCAGAGUCAGGACCUGCUCAUGAUCAACAAGCAACGGGCGAGGACAUUACCAGCUGUGGGCAGCACUGUAAGCCCUUAACACAGACCUGCACGGGUGAGGACAUUUCCAGCUGUGGGCAGCACUGUGAGCCGUUAACACAGACCUGCAACCUCAGACCAUGUAGACUCUCAUGGACUUUGGGUAACCACCCAAAGCAACAG